rnacentral:tRNA from 1 species
GAAAGAUGGCAGAGUGGUCGAUUGCGGCGGUCUUGAAAACCGUUGAGGCGCGAGCCUCCGGGGGUUCGAAUCCCUCUCUUUCC